AAGUCGUAACAAGGUUUCCGUAGGUGAACCUGCGGAAGGAUCAUUAUUACGUAUCCACGUAUCAAACCAAAUCGUGAACUGUUUCCCAUCUAUUGAGGACUUUCUGCGAGUGUUCGUGUUCUAAAUGGCACGGUGGAGACGUGGGCUAGCAAAUGGCUUUCGAGCUUUUGUUGGUACUUGUCGAAAAGAAGGCACUCGGUCCUGAAGGAUCAACUAAACAUUGAUCUUUCAGCUCAUUGGAUGUGGUUAUUUCUCUUCUUGCCACUGUGCUUCACACACAAUUAACCCCUUGUAACAAAUUGAACUAACUUUACGGAGGUGUAGAAGAGCGCAAGCUUUUUGAAACUCUGGAAAAACCGAAAUUUAAGAACAACUCUUAACAACGGAUAUCUUGGUUCUCGUAUCGAUGAAGAACGCC
rnacentral:misc_RNA from 1 species